AUUGAACGCUGGCGGCAGGCCUAACACAUGCAAGUCGGGCGCGCGGCGGACGGGUGAGUAAUGUAUGGGGAUCUGCCUGAUGGGGGGGGAUAACUACUGAAAGCGAUAUCUAAUCCCGCAUACCAUCAGAUGCCCCCAUAUGGUAUUAGCUUGUAGGUAGGGUAACGGCUUACCUGGGCGACGAUCCCUAGCUGGUCUGAGAGGAUGAUCAGCCACACUGUGACGGAGACACGGCCCAGACUCCGACGGGAGGGAGCAGUGGGGAAUAUUUCACAAUGGGCGCAAGCCUGAUGCAGCCAUGCCGCGUGUAUGAAGAAGGCCUUCGGGUUGUAAAGUACUUUCAGGCGGGAGGCGUUACCGACAGAAGAAGCACCGGCUAACUCCGUGCCAGCAGCCGCGGUAAUAC
rnacentral:rRNA from 1 species